rnacentral:rRNA from 1 species
CCCUUAGAUGUUCUGGGCUGCACGCGCGCUACACUGAUGCGCUCAACGAGUUUUAACCUUGCCUGGAAAGGUUGGGUAAUCUUUUUAAAACGCAUCGUGAUGGGGAUAGAUUAUUGCAAUUAUUAAUCUUCAACGAGGAAUUCCUAGUAAGCGCGAGUCAUCAGCUCGUGCUGAUUACGUCCCUGCCCUUUGUACACACCGCCCGUCGCUCCUACCGAUUGAAUGCUCAGGUGAGCCAUUCGGACCUUCAUCAUGCCGGUUUCCGGUUUUGAUGAGGGAAAGUCUUGCGAACCUUAUCAUUUAGAGGAAGGAGAAGUCGUAACA